UGUUCUGAUGUUAUUGUGGGGAAUGGGGGCUGUAGUGUAGUUAUGUAGUGUAGUAUAUAGGGUAUGUAGUGCAGUGCAGAGGAACAUGUAGUAUAGUAAUGUAGUGCAGUGUAUAGAGGGUUAUAGUGUAGUAAUGUAGUAGCGUAUAGGGGGUUAUAGUGUAGUAAUGUAGUGCAGCGUAUAGGGGGUUAUAGUGUAGUAAUGUAGUGCAGCGUAUAGGGGGUUAUAGUGUAGUAAUGUAGUGCAGCGUAUAGGGGGUUAUAGUGUAGUAAUGUAGUGCAGUGUAUAGGGGUAUGUAGUGUAGUGAUGUAGCGCAGUGUGGCUUAUAGGCGGAAGUUUAGUUAUGUAGUGCAGCGUACAGGGGAAUGUAGUGUAGUGAUGUAGUGUAAUGAUGCAGUGCAGCGACGUUGUGCAAUGUAUGGGGAAGAUGAUGUUGGGGAGGCCAUGUGACAGAAGUUAAGCACAUCUGGGGCAAACAGUGGACAUGUGGGGAACACGCUGCCGUGUGCCAUAUGUCAGAUGCUUAGGGCAUUUGGGGCACACAGGGGGGCAAUAUAGUCUAUUAGUAUCCAUUUUAUUCUAAAUAUAUGGUAAUUUAGUGUGAUAAUGUGUGUGCGUGUGCGUGUGUGUGUGUGUGUGUGUGUGUGUGUGUGUGUGUGUGUGCGUGUGUGUUGGGGGGGGGGCAAAUUGCAGCCUUGCCCCAGGUGCCGAAAAUCCUAGUUUCGGCCCUGCCUUGCCCCUCACAUUGCUCCUCUUUCACCCCCUCCCCUUGCUCUGCUCAUUGCCUGACUCCCCCCCCCCCCCCCCCCCCACCACCACCACUAGUAGCAGUCACCACUGGAUGCACUAGAUGUCCAGCAGCACAUGAUGUUUAGCAGCACCAGCACAGAACAGUUCCAGAGCUCUGAGCAGCCAUUAGUUCUGGGCUAGCCUGCCAGUCAGAAGGACCAGCUUGCCUGCAUGCCAGAGACUUGCCAGCAAUCUGCAACCCAAAUCUCUUGCAGUCAUGUAUCAGAGGUGGAAAUUUUAAAUUACAUUGAAGGGAAGUGUAUGCCUAUUGUGGAUAGUAAUGAAGAUCAACCCCCCAAAAAACGGUCAAAACCUUAUCAAUGGUUUUAGAUACAACUGAAAGAUGUGCAGUUACCAAUGGCAACCACAUAGACUGACAUGGAAAUUGCUGAAGGCAAAUAGAUUGUGCAUACCAGAGAGACUCAGACACAGACUCUGAUAAAUGGACAAUGGUACUCGCAAAAAAAAAGAGGGGGGAAUGAAACUACAAGGCCCUUAUUUUGGGGUUGGUAUUGGGAGACCGACAUUUGGGAUCCCGGAGGUCACCAUACCUGCCCCGGGAUCCUGGUCUGAAGAAUGGAAGUGGGGGAGAGCGCAACAAAGCCCCUUGUGGGUUCACUGCACUCACCACGCAGUGCGCUCGGUGGCUCGCUGCACUUGCCACAUGUUCUAUUCCCACUCUGUGUGUGUCGUGGACACCCACUAGUGGGAAUAGUCCCUGUUAGUCGGCAUGCCCAGUGCUCAGGAUUCUCGCUUUGGGAUAGUGACUGGCGGUCACAUAACCACAUCCCCUUAUUUUGUACCUGUCAUACUGCAGCCUGCUUGCUGGACUGGUCAAAUUCAAACAAAUUUUGCCACAGGUAGGAAAACUGUCUUGAUUGGAUUUCACUAUCAGUAUUGGUUAAUGGACGAAAGAUAUUUGUGGACUCUUGCUGCAGAAAUGAAGCCAUCUUUUCAGGCUGUCAGGCAGACAGGAAAUGGGGCUAACCAACUUUCUGAACCAUUGGCUGCAUUGCAAGUCACGGAAAAGACAAAAGGCCCUGUAAAUCUUCACACUACAAACUGGACAUUUGACAAGAAACCUUUAUGGACUGCUGUUCAACACUGGAAGUGCAACAUGGGAUAUGUUACACAAUGAAUAGAAUGGACUGAGUACAGAAUAUGGUGUGCAAUUCAUUGCAGAGACAUUGGAUGCAAGAACUGUUAAAACUUACUGGAGCUGAAGCUAUAUGCUAGCAAGCUAAUUGCAUUACUCCAAACUAUUGUCAAAGACAUUGCAGAAAACUUACGUUUACCGACAGCUAAAAAUGUGGCCUGUUUUGCUUGUAACUGCAGAAGACCUUGUGUACUUUGAGAUAAUAAAUGCAAGCAAAAUAAUAUAAUAAAGAGAUAAUAAAUGCAAAAGAACAAGCUGCAGCCUAUUACACUGCCCAACAAAAAAAUAAAAAACAAUUUGUUUGGUGCCUGGAAUGUUAGUAUUGAUUUUGGGCAUAUUGGGCAUGCUAAUUCCAAAUAUGAAAAGUUUUUCUCUAUCAGCUAUACUUUUUGCACAUGCCAAGGCCACAGCAUAUCACCAUCUGGGCGACCUUCAGUCUGAGCAGGAUGUCAUUCGUCCUUGUUGUCAGAAACUUUCUUGGCAACCACAAAGCUCAAAACUAUGCUGAGCUAGAAAACACCAUGCUCAUUAAUUUCAGAGACCUUGGAUGUAAUAGGAGCAUAAAAGUUCAUUACUUACACAGCCAAUUGGACCAUUUCCCAGAAAUUUGGGUGAUAUGAGCAAAGAGCUAGGUGAAAGAUUUCACGGGGACAAUAAAACAAUGGAAGAUCACUACCAGGAAAGAUGGGAUAUACAUAUGAUGGCAUAUUACAGCUGGAAUUUACAAAGAGACUGUCCAAACAAAGUCCAUUCAAAAAUGUCCCACAAAAGAAGCUUCCUAAACUAUUUUUUUUUCAUUUAUUUUUUCAUUUUAUUAUUUAGAAGAAAAAGUGUUAUUUGACUCACUAUAGUGUUACUGUAAUGUAUGUUUUAUUGAUGUCACUAAAAUAUUCUAGAAAAUAUUUUUAAAAUAUGUUUUUUUUUUAUUUUUUAUUUUUAUUAUGUGAAUCAUAGGCCUAUUAUGAAAUAGGGUAACACAAAUCAGAUGAUGUUUAUAUCGCUAGCAUAAAUACCAAAAAUUCCACAUGGGCAAGCUCAGAGUUAGAGUCUGACAAAGUCCUUGUGACAAAACCGGUAGGUGCGUGGCUUGACAUGAAUGGUGAUCCCGGUCUAAGGACUUGAUGGCGAGCUUGCCCGUGUGGGAUUUUUAGUAUUUAUGCUAGCGGAGGUUUAAACCGCCACCUUUGGUAUGCCUUUAUCGAUGUGCUCUGUGAAUGAAGUUUAUUAAAGUGUUACUCUUUUAAUGCACUAUUGGCGCCUCCAUUCAUCUCUAUUUUAUAGAAUAUAAAGAUAUAUAGAUAUAUAUAUAUAUAUUGUGACAAGAACACUGGGAUAGUGUUUGAGGGCAGGUAUGUUUGUCCCAGGUUCAUGUCUUACAUGUUUUAGAAAAUGAAAACUUCUAGGAAAAUGCUUUUGUUUUGUUGAAUAAAAAACAGGUAAGGGCUUUUUUGGGAAUAACUGGGUACUAUAGACGGUUUAUUCCCAAUUUUGCGACCACAUCGGUGCCGUUGUCAGACCUUACCAAAGGGAAGCAGUCAAAUAUGGUGAAAUGGAUCCCUGAUGCAGAAAAAGCGUUCCAAGCGUUAAAAGUGGCUUUGUGUUCACAACCGGUAUUGAUAACACCAGAUUUUUCAAAAGAAUUUGUGGUACAGACAGAUGCCUCACAGGUAGGUAUAGGCGCUGUGCUGUCCCAAACCAGAGAUGGGGACGAACACCCUAUCAUUUAUUUGAGUAGGAAACUCAAUGAGCAUGAAAAAAGGUAUGCCAUUGUGGAAAAGGAGGCUUUGGCCAUUAAGUGGGCACUAGAUACCUUGAGAUAUUACCUCUUGGGUAGACAAUUCAGACUAGUGACAGAUCAUGCCCCUUUAAAGUGGAUGUAUGUAAAUAGAGGCAAGAAUGCUCGUGUAACUAGAUGGUUUCUAGCGUUGCAGGAUUUUAAGUUUACUGUCAAACAUAGACCGGAUACACAAUUGGCCAACGCAGAUGCAUUCUCCCGCAUCUUCUGUUUGGGGGUUACAAGUGUUCCGGCCCCUAGGUCGAAACAGGGGAGGGGGAUAUGUGACAAGAACACUGGGAUAGUGUUUGAGGGCAGGUAUGUUUGUCCCAGGUUCUUGUCUUACAUGUUUUAGAAAAUGAAAACUUCUAGGAAAAUGCCUUUGUUUUGUUAGAACCUUUUCAGUUUUCUGGAAAAGCUGGAUAAGGGCCCUGAGAGAGAGAUAAGGCGAGUUCCAGACAUUGGGCCCAGUUUGGAUCUUUGGCCUCACAGAGGGCUAAUCAGGGCUUUCAGCUGUGCAAGAGCCUUAUAGGGCUUCUAGCCUGAUUAAUGUGUGCAGACUGCCUGGGAAGACUGCAGGAUCUCUGUGAGAGAAACACGCUUCCUGAUACAAGUGAGCUAUACAGUGUUUACUGGAAAACUCUGUGUUUUUUGUUUAGUGAUAGUUAGGAACAUCUUGUGUUUAGUUAGUGCCGGACAGGCAAGGUAUUUUCUUUUGGUGUUUGUUUUAUUUUCAGUAUAAUAAAACUGGCUGGGGCCAGUUGUACCAGAAA